rnacentral:lncRNA from 10 species
CCGGGAAGGGCCUUGCGCAGCCCGGGUUCCCGCCCGUUCCUCUCUCUCCACACCUGCCCGCAAGCUGAAGGAGCCAGCUCCAGUCUCAGCCAGCCCAGGAAGCGGCUCCCACAGUGCAGCGGCGGGCUGAAGCGCUCCUCAAGUGCCGCCAAAGUGGGAGCCCAGGCAGAGGAGGCGCCGAGAGCGGGCGAGGGCCGCAAGGGCUGCCAGCAUGCUGUCAUCUCUCAAGAGCUCCCUCAGAGGCCUAUGUAAGGAGUAAGCAGAAACCACCUUUGGAAAACAAGAAAUGGAUGACUCGUUCCUUCAUCACUUUAAACCAAUCAUCUAAGGCUGAGACCAGAUCCCCUCUCCUUCUUUGCAGUUUGGAUGUGACAGCUCACCAGUUUCACAAGACACCCUUCCUAAAAACUGACCACCAUCUCAGGACUGGCUUUGGCUGGUUCAAAGAGCAAGUGCAGUGAGAAAUUUUGUGUCCUCUACAUCACCUUUUGAUGUCAGAGGGCUGAAAAUUCCACCCUUGAAUUCUGCUAAUGCUGCCAGUUUUUGAACAUGUAACCCUCGAAGAGGCAUGAAGCUCAAUUGCCAGCACGUUUCCACUUUCAUAAAUAUUCAUGACUUCUUCUAUAGCUUAUUGAAUAUGUAUACUUAGCCAACUCGUUCAGCAUAAAUUCCUGUCUUUUCCUUCCCUCUCUUGAAGUGCUUGCUCUUGGUGUCUACAGAGGCUGUGUUUCCCAGCCUGCUGGAUGGCUAGCCUGCAGGCUGCAAUCCUUUAUGAGAAACAAAACUCUCUUUUCCAGAUUUACGGUCCUCAUCAUUGUUCAGCUGACACAAUCUUCAAGCUUGGUCUCAAUAAAUUCUUUACCG